GAUGAGAACGUAGCGAAAUGCGAUAAGUAGUGUGAAUUGCAGAAUUCAGUGAAUCAUCGAAUCUUUGAACGCACAUUGCGCCCCUUGGUAUUCCAUGGGGCAUGCCUGUUCGAGCGUCAUUUGUACCUUCAAGCUUUGCUUGGUGUUGGGUGUUUGUCCAUUCUCUUGCAGAGGGACUCGCCUUAAAGUAAUUGGCAGCCAGUGUUUUGGUUUUGAAGCGCAGCACAAGUCGCGAUUCAAAGCUAUACGCCCGCUUCCACAAGCCUUUUUCACUUUUGACCUCGGAUCAGGUAGGGAUACCCGCUGAACUUAAGCAUAUCAAUAAGCGGAGGA
rnacentral:misc_RNA from 1 species